rnacentral:lncRNA from 1 species
AUGUGGAGGAGAACAAGGAGGGGCAACAUUUUUCUAGGUAGAAAAAGCAAAGAAGGGAAGGCAGAUGCUUGGGUGUGUUGGUGCCAUAGUUUCUGCAGGCCUGAUGGUGCCCAAAGGAGUUUCAGAAUGAAGACCAGCAGUCUGAUCCUCCAGAUGGGACAACAGCCUGGAUGCUUCAACAACAUCAUUCUACCCGGAUUCCAGAGUGAGAUCAGACUCAAGUCUGGCCACAUGGCACAAAUGGACAACCCAUACAUUUGGAGAGACUCCAAGAAAUCCAUCCGAAGCUCUGAAUGGUCCUGGCCCUGUUCCAAAAUUUUACUAACCUUCCACAAAUUGGGAUUCCAGACACGUUCUUACCUUGGCCUCCAGGAUAAUGGAAGCCACAAAAGAGACAGAAAUUAA